GUUAAUGUAGCUUAAUAAAUCAAAGCAAGGCACUGAAAAUGCCUAGACGAGUCAUAAAGACUCCAUAAACA
rnacentral:tRNA from 1 species